UCUCCGUAGGUGAACCUGCGGAGGGAUCAUUACUGAGUGAGGGCUCACGCCCGACCUCCAACCCUUUGUGAACGAAACAUGUUGCUUCGGGGGCGACCCUGCCUUUGGCGCGGCGCCCCCGGAGGUCAUCAAACUCUGCAUCUUUGCGUCGGAGUCAUCAGUUAAUUAAACAAAACUUUCAACAACGGAUCUCUUGGUUCUGGCAUCGAUGAAGAACGCAGC
rnacentral:misc_RNA from 1 species